AUUGAACGCUGGCGGCAGGCUUAACACAUGCAAGUCGAGCGGAGAUGAGGUGCUUGCACCUUAUCUUAGCGGCGGACGGGUGAGUAAUACUUAGGAAUCUGCCUAUUAGUGGGGGACAACAUCUCGAAAGGGAUGCUAAUACCGCAUACGCCCUACGGGGGAAAGCAGGGGAUCACUUGUGACCUUGCGCUAAUAGAUGAGCCUAAGUCAGAUUAGCUAGUUGGUGGGGUAAAGGCCUACCAAGGCGACGAUCUGUAACGGGUCUGAGAGGAUGAUCCGUCACACUGGGACUGAGACACGGCCCAGACUCCUACGGGAGGCAGCAGUGGGGAAUAUUGGACAAUGGGGGGAACCCUGAUCCAGCCAUGCCGCGUGUGUGAAGAAGGCCUUUUGGUUGUAAAGCACUUUAAGCGAGGAGGAGGCUACUUAGAUUAAUACUCUAAGAUAGUGGACGUUACUCGCAGAAUAAGCACCGGCUAACUCUGUGCCAGCAGCCGCGGUAAUACAGAGGGUGCAAGCGUUAAUCGGAUUUACUGGGCGUAAAGGGUACGUAGGUGGUCUUUUAAGUCGGAUGUGAAAUCCCUGAGCUUAACUUAGGAAUUGCAUUCGAUACUGAAAGACUAGAGUAUGGGAGAGGAUGGUAGAAUUCCAGGUGUAGCGGUGAAAUGCGUAGAGAUCUGGAGGAAUACCGAUGGCGAAGGCAGCCAUCUGGCCUAAUACUGACACUGAGGUACGAAAGCAUGGGGAGCA
rnacentral:rRNA from 1 species